rnacentral:lncRNA from 1 species
CAAUGGUGGGUUCAAUGAUGAUCGGCUUGGGUUUAGUCACUGCCAUGGUUGCAGCCUCUACUCAGAGAUGAAAUUUGAGAUCUUGGAUCAGAGAUGAUAGGCGUAGACCCAUACUUUAUUGAAACACUGAAACCAAAUUCUGAUAAGGUCGAUCUGGUUGAGGUUCUUCCCAUUUAACUUGGCGUGCAUCGUGACGGCCAUCCUUGCAUACAUAGAAACAGAGAGCGAGUUAACUCAGAGUAGUGGAAUGGAGAUUGGUUUUGACUUGAAAACUCAAUGUUUACUUU